rnacentral:rRNA from 1 species
CCUACGGGCGGCAGCAGUGAGGAAUAUUGGUCAAUGGGAGAGAUCCUGAACCAGCCAAGCCGCGUGAGGGAAGACGGCCCUAUGGGUUGUAAACCUCUUUUGUCGGAGAACAAAACCCGGGACGUGUCCCGGACUGCGUGUAUCCGAAGAAAAAGCAUCGGCUAACUCCGUUCCAGCCGCCGCGGAAAUACGGAGGAUGCGAGCGUUAUCCGGAUUUAUUGGGUUUAAAGGGUGCGUAGGCGGUCCGUUAAGUCAGCGGUAAAAUUGCGGGGCUAAACCCCGUCGAGCCGUUGAAACUGGCAGACUUGAGUUGGCGAGAAGUACGCGGAAUGCGCGGUGUAGCGGUGAAAUGCAUAGAUAUCGCGCAGAACUCCGAUGGCGAAGGCAGCGUACCGGCGCCAGACUGACGCUGAGGCACGAAAGCGUGGGGAGCGAACAGGAUUAGAUACCCCUGUAGUC